AUUGAACGCUGGCGGCAGGCAUAACACAAGCAAGUCGAGCGAGAGGCGGACGGGUGAGUAAUGCCGGGGAAACUGACUGAUGGAGGGGGAUAACUACUGGACAGGGUAGCUAAUACCGGAUAACAUCAGAUGUGGCCAGAUGGGAUUAGCUAGUCGGUGGUGUAACGGCUAGCCUAGGCUCCGAUCCCUAGCUGGUCUGAGAGGAGGACAUGCCACACUGGAACUGAGACACGGUCCAGACUCCUACGGGAGGCAGCAGUGGGGAAUAUUGCACAAUGGGCGCAGGCCUGAUGCAGGCAUGCCGCGUGUAUGAAGAAGGCCUUCGGGUUGUAAGGCACUUUCAGCGGGGAGGCGUUACCCGCAGAAGAAGGACCGGCUAACUCCGUGCCAGCAGCCGCGGUAAUUC
rnacentral:rRNA from 1 species